rnacentral:rRNA from 1 species
AACGAACGCUGGCGGCAUGCCUAACACAUGCAAGUCGAACGAAACCUUCGGGUCUAGUGGCGCACGGGUGCGUAACGCGUGGGAACCUGCCCUUAGGUUCGGAAUAACUCCCCGAAAGGUGUGCUAAUACCGGAUAGUGUCUUCGGACCAAAGAUUUAUCGCCUUUGGAUGGGCCCGCGUUGGAUUAGCUAGUUGGUAGGGUAAAAGCCUACCAAGGAGACGAUCCAUAGCUGGUCUGAGAGGAUGAUCAUCCACACUGGGACUGAGACACGGCCCAGAAUCCUACGGGAGGCAGCAGUGGGGAAUAUUGGACAAUGGGCGAAAGCCUGAUACAGCAAUGCCGCGUGAGUGAUGAAGGCCUUAGGGUUGUAAAGCUCUUUUACCCGGGAUGAUAAUGACAGUACCGGGAGAAUAAGCUCCGGCUAACUACGUG